GAUGAACGCUGGCGGCGUGCCUAAUACAUGCAAGUCGAGCGAACGGACGAGAAGCUUGCUUUUCUGAUGUUAGCGGCGGACGGGUGAGUAACACGUGGAUAACCUACCUAUAAGACUGGGAUAACUUCGGGAAACCGGAGCUAAUACCGGAUAAUAUUUUGAACCGCAUGGUUCAAAAGUGAAAGACGGUCUUGCUGUCACUUAUAGAUGGAUCCGCGCUGCAUUAGCUAGUUGGUAAGGUAACGGCUUACCAAGGCAACGAUGCAUAGCCGACCUGAGAGGGUGAUCGGCCACACUGGAACUGAGACACGGUCCAGACUCCUACGGGAGGCAGCAGUAGGGAAUCUUCCGCAAUGGGCGAAAGCCUGACGGAGCAACGCCGCGUGAGUGAUGAAGGUCUUCGGAUCGUAAAACUCUGUUAUUAGGGAAGAACAUAUGUGUAAGUAACUGUGCACAUCUUGACGGUACCUAAUCAGAAAGCCACGGCUAACUACGUGCCAGCAGCCGCGGUAAUACGUAGGUGGCAAGCGUUAUCCGGAAUUAUUGGGCGUAAAGCGCGCGUAGGCGGUUUUUUAAGUCUGAUGUGAAAGCCCACGGCUCAACCGUGGAGGGUCAUUGGAAACUGGAAAACUUGAGUGCAGAAGAGGAAAGUGGAAUUCCAUGUGUAGCGGUGAAAUGCGCAGAGAUAUGGAGGAACACCAGUGGCGAAGGCGACUUUCUGGUCUGUAACUGACGCUGAUGUGCGAAAGCGUGGGGAUCAAACAGGAUUAGAUACCCUGGUAGUCCACGCCGUAAACGAUGAGUGCUAAGUGUUAGGGGGUUUCCGCCCCUUAGUGCUGCAGCUAACGCAUUAAGCACUCCGCCUGGGGAGUACGACCGCAAGGUUGAAACUCAAAGGAAUUGACGGGGACCCGCACAAGCGGUGGAGCAUGUGGCUUAAUUCGAAGCAACGCGAAGAACCUUACCAAAUCUUGACAUCCUUUGACAACUCUAGAGAUAGAGCCUUCCCCUUCGGGGGACAAAGUGACAGGUGGUGCAUGGUUGUCGUCAGCUCGUGUCGUGAGAUGUUGGGUUAAGUCCCGCAACGACCGCAACCCUUAAGCUUAGUUGCCAUCAUUAAGUUGGGCACUCUAAGUUGACUGCCGGUGACAAACCGGAGGAAGGUGGGGAUGACGUCAAAUCAUCAUGCCCCUUAUGAUUUGGGCUACACACGUGCUACAAUGGACAAUACAAAGGGCAGCGAAACCGCGAGGUCAAGCAAAUCCCAUAAAGUUGUUCUCAGUUCGGAUUGUAGUCUGCAACUCGACUACAUGAAGCUGGAAUCGCUAGUAAUCGUAGAUCAGCAUGCUACGGUGAAUACGUUCCCGGGUCU
rnacentral:rRNA from 1 species